rnacentral:misc_RNA from 1 species
GAUGAAGAACGUAGCGAAAUGCGAUAAGUAAUGUGAAUUGCAGAAUUCAGUGAAUCAUCGAAUCUUUGAACGCACAUUGCGCCCCUUGGUAUUCCGAGGGGCAUGCCUGUACGAGCGUCAUUAUAACCCCUCAAGCUCAGCUUGGUGUUGGGGCCUGCUGCACUGGCAGCCCUUAAAAUCAGUGGCGGCGCCAUCUGGCUCUAAGCGUAGUAAUUCUUCUCGCUAUGGAGUCCUGGUGGAUGCUUGCCAUCAACCCCCAAUUUUUCUAUGGUUGACCUCGGAUCAGGUAGGGAUACCCGCUGAACUUAAGCAUAUCAAUAAGCGGAGGA